GAGAGCAGAAACCUUGAAUCUCUCUGUGUGGAAUAAAAGGGUGGAUAGCUUUAUUAGAGAGAGAGAGAGAGAGAGAGAGAGAGAGAGAGAGAUGGACACUUUGUCUAGUUAAGAUAGCACCUUUCUACCUUCCUCUCAAUCCUCAAAUCACCACGCUUCUUUAUUUUCUUUCCCAUUCACAAAAUGGAUCUGCAAGUACCACAAGAAGUGAUGAGAUCCAAGAACACAACUACUAAUAUUCUAAUCAUACACUACUUGUAGUGUUGCCAAAUCGAAACCAAGCUAAGCAGGUUCUGUUUCUCUGUCUGGCUUUCCGUACAGAAGAAGAAGAAUCACAGAGAACAGAAAAAGAUGGCAACGUACUUUCAUGGCGGCAACA